rnacentral:lncRNA from 1 species
UUUGAUAGAGAAGGGACAGGGAACAGAACCUUCGCCCCCCGCCUGAGCAGCUGGUAGACUAGAUAUCUUCCAAACAUUAUCUCAUUUACUUCCCUGGAGUUACAAAUAGGUAGAUUUCAUGUCCGUUGAGGGGUGAGAAAGCUGAAACUUUGAGACUUAAGAAUCCUGGCCGAGGUCAGCCUCCUCCGAAGCUUCAUCUCUUGCCACCACUUUCUGGUGCACACCUAGGACAGAUUUCAAUCCCUGAGAUCCCAGGAUGAAACCUAUGUUUGCCAAAUACCAGCUACUGUGCCAGAAGAGAUCAUGGAACCAGGUGUGGAAAGCUGCUUGAGAAGAGGAGCCAAAACAUCAUAGUUGAACCGUCCUGGAAUAGAAACUCGCCCUGAAUUCUUUCUUGUGUGAAAUCCAAGAGCCCUCUCUUGGGGUUGGAUCGGGACCCUGUUCCUGUAACAAGUCCACAAUGCCAGAGAAUUAAAGAGAACCACAAAGCUGAACCUCAAAAAGUUAGCCUGGCGAGGGGAGGAUGAUGAGAUUUCCCCUGUUGUCACAUAAACAAGGAAGUAAAGGGGGCCCCUUGUGCUCUCAGAACUCCAAGCAUGAAACGAUAGCAAAGGGAAAAACAGCUAAGUGUUUCCUGGCUGAAUUUUAUUUUGCUUUCAGUUUCUGCCAUUUCAGUUCCUGUUAUCGUGCUUUGAGGUGCACUGAACUGCAGCAAACCCAGGGGAUCCAAGGCUACGUUGAAAAGCCUUUGACCACAGUGCAGGGAGCAGAAGACAUUAAUGACGUGAUGUCGACACAGCCCGCACUCAGGAUCCUCCAGGAAAAGAACACAGAGAUAACCCCGGAUCGAUGGUACUUUUUGAAAAUGCUUUAUUGCAAAAGAGUGGCUAGGGUUUUACAAGGGCUAUGAAGAAACAUAUUAAGGUUAAUAAAGCUUUUUAUUGAGUGUUU